CUGUAUCCGUAACAGUUUGUAAGACUGUCUCCCUCUAUCCCUCUCUCACCCAUAAUCACACUGUGUGUGUGUGUGUCUGUCUGUCUGUCCCCAGGCUGGUGCAGGAGGGUGUGUGCGGAGCCCUGCCAUCUAUGAGCUGUGGUCAGACGUGGGUGAGAGGUCAGGUGUUGGGGUGUGUUGCUCUUUCAGAGCGCCUCCUACUGGUGGGAGUAAAGUAUGACACCGUCACACACACACUCUACACAGAGAUGCUGCAUGAACACCAUGGUGAGACAAACACACACACACAAACACAGUACAUCACAUGUGUAUACGCAGAACAUCCCAUCAUGUUUCUGAUAUCCCAGGGCUGGUUGCCUGGUAGACGCUGUUGCUGUGGGAGGGUGGAGCUAGGUUUGCUAUUGGAGGAAAGUCAGGAGUCAGGUGACAUGCUGAAUCAGUCUGAGCCUUCAAGAUAUACAGGUAACACACACACGCUUAAGGUGGUUAUAGGCUGUGCAUAACAAUUAUACACAAUGAGUUGAUAUAGAGGAGUAAUUUAAUUGAGUGGGAAACCUAUGGAUGAGCCAGUGUGGGUGCAGCAGAUGGCUACCUCUCUGAUCAUGUGAUGACAUGUUUAACAGGCGCAAAUGAGGGCGUGUCUCUGAGGGGCUGUCCUGAUUGGGAGAAACCCAGUGAGGAAUCUUGGUCAGCCAUCUCCCUCCUCACUCGGAUACACACCAGCCUUGAGCACCAGACAAAUACACUCACUGCCCUGGCCAAGAGGUACACACAACGAAACACGCACACCUCAAAUCCACAAUAACUGCCCUUACCAAGAGGCAAACACAUUUUGCCAAUCACAACCUUGAUUGUGAGAAUGUGUCCCUCUGCCCCUGCAGGCUGGACAGGGAGACCCUGCGGCUGAUGGGUCUGUACACCAGCCUGGCCACCAUCAGUGCUCAGAGGGAGAAACUGUCCCAUGGUGCACUGCUUGCUGGCAGCCAGACAGGACUGGGAGACAUGCUCUCUGCAGGUCAUUCACUAGGUCCCCCCGUGUGGUUCUGGGAUUUUUGCUCACCUACUGCAGCAAAGGAACAGGAAGUCAGUGUGCAGGAUGAGAGUGGUCACUGUGACACACACACUGCAACGACACAGCUGGAGACAGACAGUGUGAGGACACAGUCAGAGAGAGACCAAAUGGAGGUUUUGGACUCGUCUCUGUUCCAGUCCAGCUCAGAGGUUGACCAGCGCCCCACCACUGGCCAGGGCGUCUACUAUGUCUGGCUCUCUUAAGG
ensembl:lncRNA